UUUAAUAAUAUAAUUUUUGAACUCAAAUUUCACUCUCCUCUUAUAUUAUUCCUUUUUUAUUUUCAUCCUAUAAAAAAUCUACAUCUUUUCUUUUUCUCGGUGGCGUUCGUCGGAAAUUGGGUCAUCUUAAAUCUUUUGGUUUUAAGCGACUUAAAAUUUUCUUUUUGGUCCCAUGAACGUUUCUAAGAUUUAUUUCUUUACACGUUUAAGGUAUCGAUUUUUAUUAGACGUGACCAUCAUAUCGGAUCGCGCCCAUAAUCUUUCAUUAACUGACCUCAGACAGGUAAGAGUACCCGCUGAA
rnacentral:misc_RNA from 1 species